UUCCCUUCCAUUCCCUUCCAUUCCCUUGCUCUCCCUCCACACUACACCCCCAUUUUCCCUUCCCUUCCACUCCCUUCCAUUCCCUUGCUCUCCCUUCCCACUACAUCCCCCAUUUCCCUUCCCUUCCCUUCCAUUCCAUGCUCUCCCUUGCAUACCAUUCCCACUACACCCCCCAUUUCCCCUCCCUUCCAUUCCCUUUAUCUCCCUUCCCCCUACACCCCCCAUUUCCCUUCCCUUCCAUUCCCUUGCUCUAUCUUCCCACUACACACGCCUUUUCCCUUCCCGUCCUUUCCCUUGCUUUCCCUUCCCACUUCAUUCCCCAUUUCCCUUCCCUUCCAUUCCCUACAAUUCCCUUUCUCUCCCUUCCUCUCCCUUCCCACUACACCCCCCAAUUACCUUCCCUUCCAUUUGCUUACUCUUCCUUCCCAAUACACCCCCAAUUCCCUUCCCAUCCAUUCCCUUGCUCUCCCUUCCCGCUACACACCCCAUUUCCCUUCCUUUCCAUUCCCUUGCUCUCCCUUCCCACUACACCCACCAUUUCCCUUCCCACCCAUUCCCUUCCUCCCUCUUUCCACUACACCCUGCAUUUCCCUUCCCUUCCAUUCCCUUCCAUUCCCUUCCAUUCCCUUGCUCUCCCUUCCCUCUACUACCCGCAUUUCCUUUCCCUUCCAUUCCCAUAUUCUCCCUUCCCACUACACUCCCCUUUUACCUUCACUCCCAUUCCCUUCCUCUCCCUUGCUCUCUCUCUCCACUACACCCGCCAUUUCCCUUGCCUUCCAUUCCCUUCCACUCCCUUCCAUUCACUUGGUCUCCCUUCCCACUACAACCCGCAUUUCCUUUCCCUUCCAUUCCCUUAUUCCCUUCCCAGUACACUCCCCUUUUCCCUUCCCUUCCAUUCCCUUACCUUACCUUCAGUUCCCUUGCUCUCCCACCCCACUGCACCACCCUUUUUCCUUCCCUCCCAUUCCUUUCUAUUUUCUUGCUCUCCCAUCCCACUUCAACCCCAUUUCCCUACCCUUCCAUUCCCUUCUAUUCCCUUGCUCUCCCUUCCCACUGCAGCAACAUUUCCCUUCCAUUCCAUUCCCUUGCUCUCCCUUCCCACUACAGCCCCCAUUUACCUUCCCUACCAUUCCCUUGGUCUCCGUUGCAUCCUCCUCGCACUCCACCCCCCAUUUUUCUUCCCUUCCAUUCCCUUUAUCUCCCUUCCCACUACACCUCCCAUUUCCCUUCCCUUCCAUUCCCUUGCUCUCCCUUCCCACUAUACCCCAGAUUUCCCUUCCCUUCCCUUCACUUCCGUUCCCUUGCUCUCCCUUUCCACUACUACCACCAUUUCCCCUCCCUUCCAUUCCCUUCCAUAACCGUGCUCUCUCUUCCCAGUACACCUCCCUUUUCCCUUCCCUUCCAUUCCCGGGCAUUCCCUUCCAUUCACCUUCUACCCCUUCCCACUGCACCCCCCUUUUCCCUUCCCUUCCAUUCCCUUCCUCUCUUCCCACUACACUCCCCUUUUCCAUUCCAUUCCAUUCCCUUUACUUACCUUCAAUUGCCUCGCUCUCCCUCCCCAGUACACCCCUUAUUUCCCUUCCCUUCCAUUCCCUUCAAAUUCCUUGCUCUCUCAUCCCACUACACCCCCAAUUUCCCUUCCCGUCCAUUCCCUUCCAUUCCCUUCCAUUCACUUGCUCUCCGUUCCCACUUCUCCCCGCAUUUCCCUUCCCUUCCAUUCCCUUAUUCUCCCUUCACACUACACUCCCCUUUUACCUUCCCUUCCAUUCUCUUCCUUUACCUUGUAUUCCCUUGCUCUCCCUCCCCAAUACACCCCCCUUUUCCUUUGCCUCCCAUUCCCUUCCAUUCCCUUUCUCUCCCUUCGCUCUAUACACCCCAUUUCCCUUCCCUUCUAUUCCCUAUCUCUCCCUUCCCACAACAAAACCCCCCGUUUGACUUCCCUUCCAUUCCCUUCCCUUCCAUUCCAUUCCCUUCCAUUCCAUUUCUCUACCUUCCCACAGCAACCCCAUUUCCCUUCCCUUCCAUUCCCUUCCACUCCCUACCCACUACUCCCCCCAUUUCCCUUACCUUCCAUUCCCUUCAAUUCCCUUGCUCUCCCUUCCCACUACAACCCCCGUUUCCCUUCCCUUCUAUUCCCUUCCAUUCUCUUGCUCUCCCUUCCCAGUACAACCCCUAUUUCCCUUCCCUUCCAUUCUCUUGCUCUCCCUUCCCACUACACCCCCAUUUCCCUUCCCUUCCUUUCCCUUGCUCUCCCUUCCCACUUCAUCCCCCAUUUCCCUUCCCUUCCAUUCCCUUCAAGUCCUUUGCUGUCCCUUGCUCUCCCUUCCCACUUCCCCCCCCGUUUCACUUCCCUUCAAUUUCGUUGCACUCCCUUCCCACUAUUCCCCCCAUUUCCCUUCCCUUCCAUUCCCUUGCUCUCCCUUCUCACUACACCCCCCAUUUCCCUUUCCUUCCAUUCCCUUUGCUCUUCCUUCCCACUAUACCCCACAUUUCCCUUCCAUUCCCUUCCAUUCCCUUGCUCUCCUUUCCCACUACAUCCCCCAUUUCCCUUCCCUUCCAUUCCUUUCAAUACCCUUCCUCUGCAUUCCUCUCCUUUCCCACUACAACCCCAUUUAACUUUCCUUCCAUUCCCUUGCUCUCCCUUUCCACUACAUCCCCCAUUUCCCUUCCCUUCCAUUCCCUUGCUCUCCACUCCCACUAUACAACCCAUCUCCCUUCCCUUUGUUUCCAUUCCUUUCUCUCCCUUGCAUACCCCUCCCAGUACACCCCCCAUUUCCCUUCCCUUCCAUUCCCUUUUUCUCCCUUCCCACUACACCCGCCAUUUCCCAUCCCUUCCUUUCCUUUCCUCUCCCUCCGCACUAUACCCCACCUUUCCCUUCCCUUCCAUUCCCUUGGUCUCACAUCCCACUACACCUCCCUAUUCCCUUCAUUCCAUUCCCUUCCUUUCCCUUCCAUUCCCGUGCUCUCCCUCCCCACUACACACCCCUUUUUGCCUUCCAUUCCAUUCCCUUCCAUUCCCUUCCUUUCCCUUGCUCUCCCUUCCCCCUACACUCCCCUUUGCCCUUCCCUUCCAUUCCCUUCCUCUCCCUUGCUCUCCCUUCCCACUACACCCCCCAUUUCCCUUCCUUUCCAUUCCCUUCCAUUCCCUUCCAUUCCGUUGCACUCCCUUCGCACUGCAACCCCAUUUCCCGUCCCUUCCAUUCGUUUCCGCUCCCUUCCCCUUACUACCCCCAUUUCCAUUCCCUUCCAUUCCCUUACUCUCCCUCCCCACUACACCCCGCUUUUACCUGCCCUUCCAUUCCCUUCCAUUCCCUUGCUCUCCCCUCCCAGAAAUACCCCCAUUUCCCUUCCCUUCUUUUCCCAUGUUCUCCAUUCUCACUAUACCCACCAUUUCCCUUCCCUUCCCUUCCAUUCCCUUGCUCUCCCUUGCAACCCCCUCGCACUACACUCCCCAUUUCCCUUCCCUUCCGUUCCCUUUAUCUCCCUUCCCUCUACAUCCCCCAUUUCCCUUCCCUUCCAUUCCCUUUGCUCUCCCUUCCCACUACACCCCCCUUUUCCUUUCCCAACCCUUACCUUCCAUCCCCUUCCAUUCACUUCCUCUCCUUUCCAACUAUACCCCAUUUCCCUUUCCUUCCUUUCCCAUUCUCUCCCUUCCCACUACAUCCCCCAUUUCCCUUCCCUUCCAUUCCCUUUGCUCUCCCUUCCCACUACACCCCCCUUUUCCUUUCCCAACCCUUACCUUCCAUUCCCUUCCAUUCACUUCCUCUCCUUUCCAACUAUACCCCAUUUCCCUUUCCUUCCUUUCCCAUUCUCUCUCUUCCCACUACAUUCCCCUUUUCCCUUCCCUUCCCUUUCCUUACCUUCAGUUCCCUUGCUCUGCCUCCCCACUACACCCCCUUUUCCCUUCCUUUCCGUUCCCUUCCAUUCCCUAUCUCUCCCUUCCCGUUACACACCCCAUUUCCGUUCCCUUCCAUUCCCUAUCUCUCCCUUCCCUUCCCUUCCCUUCC
rnacentral:lncRNA from 1 species